GAUAAUGGGGCUGCUGCAGCUACAACACCAUAUCGUUCAGGUUUUGAGACGCCAAUGCCUUACAUGCAGACUCCCAUGAGAGAUACUGGAGCAAUGUCAAUGCCUUACCUGAUGACUCCCCUUAGAGAUCCUGCAGCAAGCCCAACGCCUUACAUGAUGACUCCCAUGAGAGAUCCAGGAGCAACACCUUACAUGAUGACUCCCAUGAGAGAUCCAGGAGCAACACCUUACAUGAUGACUCCCAUGAGAGAUCCAGGAGCAACACCUUACAUGAUGACUCCCAGAAGAGAUCCCCGAGCAACACCAGUACAUAGUGGUAUGAGGACUCCUCCUAUGACUCCCAUGAGAGAUCCCCGAGCAACACCAAUACAUGGUCACGUGGGAACUCCUCCUAUAUAUUAGGGCUUU
rnacentral:lncRNA from 1 species